rnacentral:snoRNA from 1 species
GCCGAGACUAGAGUCACAUCUUGACACUGUGCUCUUGUCCUGGUGUGCUAGAGUUCUCGAAGAGAAUCUGCUGGUCUUGAUUCACUGGCGGGGGCAGUCAGUGCCCCCGUUAGUGCCCAGAUCAGUAACAUAU